rnacentral:misc_RNA from 1 species
AACGCAUAUUGCGCCCAUUGGCAUUCCGAUGGGCAUGCCUGUUCGAGCGUCAUUAUCCUCCCUCAAACCCUGGGUUUGGUGUUGGACUCUGUGGUGCGAUGUUUUGAGCACGACUGGUCUUAAAGACAAUGACGGCGUCCGUGGGACCCUCGGUGCAACGAGCUUUUCGAAGCACGCGUCGAGUGUAACAGUCUCUCCGGGCCGGUCUCCUUUUAAUUAUUUUUCUAGGUUGACCUCGGAUCAGGUAGGAAUACCCGCUGAACUUAA